rnacentral:ncRNA from 2 species
GACAAAUGAAUAGAAAAUGUUCAUAUAGUCGCAGUGAUAAGGUCUGCAAGUUUCUACCGGACUACCGUAAAUAGUCCGACUAUGAGCGAAAGUGUACGCUAC